rnacentral:lncRNA from 1 species
AAACAACAAAUUACUUUUUAAAUUAAUGACCAAAAAGAAAGUCCGCUUUCAAUUCCUAACACUGGAAAUGCAAAGCUUCUCCUCGGUCUUACAUAGUUUCUCUGCUAUUGAGCAACUCAGCCUCCUUGGUGGUGGGUUAAGGAAACACUCUGCUCAGGGGCUCAGGACCAUGCCCUUCUGGUAAGAAUGUAUAGUUACUUCCUUCACAAAGUGUCUUCAAACCCUGUAUGGGUACCAUCCCAAUUCUCUUUCCCUCUCCUACCACUCCAGAACUGUUUAUAUCACUUGUUAAGUAACCCCCCUGCUUUUGUUAAUUUAUUAUACCAGGACAGCAGAACGUGGCAGAUGAAAAUGAUGGAAGCAAGGCUCAUUAGGAUUCCAUGUCCUUUGAAUGGUACAGCUGGAAAGAAGGAGAGAGACAGAGAUUCUCCUUUGUUUUGAACUUUCAGUUGGACCAAAGACUUGUGCUUCAGAAAAGCAAUGCUGCUCUCCCAAAGGCCAUCCUUCACUUCUGUUCUGCCUCGUUGCCUCGCCUCCCCACAUGAGAGAAAACCCCCAACCAUAUCGUCUCCCUCGAGCUCUAAGAAAACAGGUAAUGAUGCAUGGAUGUGCAAUGAAAUUUCAAAAAUGUGCACUGACUUUUUAGAAAUAUGCCAACUGUCAAAUAAAAAAUAAAAUUAAAAAUCA